AGCCGCUACCGCCUCGCCGCAGCGCCUCGGGUCGACGGAAAGGUGUCCAAGCCUGGGUCGACGGAAAGGUGUCCAAGCCUGGGUCAUUUAGAGGAAGUAAAAGUCGUAACAAGGUUUCCCGUAGUGAACCUGCCGGAAGGAUUCAU
rnacentral:rRNA from 1 species